rnacentral:lncRNA from 1 species
CAUGGAAUUGUAAAAACUUCCCGGAUCUUUGCAUUUAGGAGGUAAUUUUCUUCGCAAAACAGCGGAAACAUUCUCACUUACCUGGACAACUCCUCUUUGUUUGAAAUUCUCUUUCUUAUUGUACAUAGUUCCUUCAAAAACUUGGCAUACCUAGGUAUUGCUUAAUUGCGUCAAGGAGAGGUAAUAUUGACUUGCACUUUCCGGAACGUCUCUAGAAUGUCCUUUUCAGCUUGUUCUUUCUUUGUUUGC